rnacentral:rRNA from 1 species
GACGAACGCUGGCGGCGUGCUUAACACAUGCAAGUCGAACGGAAAGGCCCUGCUUUUGUGGGGUGCUCGAGUGGCGAACGGGUGAGUAACACGUGAGUAACCUGCCCUUGACUUUGGGAUAACUUCAGGAAACUGGGGCUAAUACCGGAUAGGAGCUCCUGCUGCAUGGUGGGGGUUGGAAAGUUUCGGCGGUUGGGGAUGGACUCGCGGCUUAUCAGCUUGUUGGUGGGGUAGUGGCUUACCAAGGCUUUGACGGGUAGCCGGCCUGAGAGGGUGACCGGCCACAUGGGGACUGAGAGACGGCCCAGACUCCUACGGGAGGCAGCAGUGGGGAAUAUUGCACAAUGGGCGGAAGCCUGAUGCAGCAACGCCGCGUGCGGGAUGACGGCCUUCGGGUUGUAAACCGCUUUCGCCUGUGACGAAGCGUGAGUGACAGUAAUGGGUAAAGAAGCACCGGCUAACUACGUG